rnacentral:snRNA from 1 species
UCUGGGCUUUCACGAGUCGCCCAUG